rnacentral:rRNA from 1 species
GACAGGGGGGGCAAGCGUUACUCAUCUUGAUUGGGCGCAAAGGGUACGUAGGUGGUUUGCUGUGAGUGGUAUCAAAAUCCUAAAGUUUUUGAGCUUUAGUUACGGCGCCGCUAUCGUUGCAACUUGAGUUAGAGAAUCGUUGAUAAAAUUUCCAGUGUAGCGCUCAAAUGCUGCGAUAUUGGGAGGAAGACUGACAAUGAAAAUAUUUUUCGUUCGCUAACUGACGCUGAGGUACGAGGGCACGGGGAGCAAACAGGG